rnacentral:lncRNA from 10 species
UAUUUCCAAUGUAGCACAUCAGCUGAAGCUAUGAUGGUCUUUUUCAGUCAGGAAGAAACACUUCAUUAUUCUGCAGAUAGCAACCAGUCGCCAGAAAAAAAGCAACAAAACCAAAGAUUCAACUGGGAAGAGGAGUCGCCUUUCAUGACCUUCAGACAACGAGUUCAUGUACAUGAGCACAUCACAAGAAGUGAGAAGACAGGACAGAUGCAAAUGAGGAAGCAGGACCUCAGCAGACACCAGAUUCACCUGUGCCUCGAUCGUGGACUUCCCAGCCUCCAAAACCAGGAGAAAUAAAUGUGUGUGGUUUAAGCCACCCAGCCAUUGGUACUUUGAUGUAGCAGUCCUAACUGAGUAAGACAGAUAUGAACUGGAAGAACUUCAGUGAGAAAGGAAAGUAACCAAACACAGAAUGUGGGGUCAGGCAGAAUACUUUGUAACAUGCUGUAUUAAAUGUGAAAACAGUAAGGGUAAGAGCCAAAGGAAGAAGAUGGGGGCACCGGGAAACUUUGUAUGGACAUUCAAGAGGUUAACAUCUAGAGCCCUAAAUGGAUGGCUGGCUUUAUUUUCAGUAUUAGUCAUUGCUCUGAGACAGCAUUUUAUGCUACUUCUGGAUACAUUCUUUUGGAGGUCAUGCAUGAUGGAGUUUCUUGAAUUAAUUAGUAUAUUCUCUCUUCUAUAAAUGUCUGAAUCAGGUCAAGUACAAAACUA